CACGUAGUUAGCCGUGGCUUUCUGGUUAGGUACCGUCAAGACUUGUUCAGUUACUAACAAAUUUGUUCUUCCCUAACAACAGAGUUUUACGGUCCUAAGACCUUCAUCACUCACGCGGCGUUGCUCCGUCAGGCUUUCGCCCAUUGCGGAAGAUUCCCUACUGCUGCCUCCCGUAGGAGUCUGGACCGUGUCUCAGUUCCAGUGUGGCCGAUCACCCUCUCAGGUCGGCUACGUAUCGUUGCCUUGGUAAGCCGUUACCUUACCAACUAGCUAAUACGGCGCGGGUCCAUCUAUAAGUGACAGCCGAAACCGUCUUUCAACAUUGAACCAUGCGGUUCAAUAUAUUAUCCGGUAUUAGCCCCGGUUUCCCGGAGUUAUCCCAGUCUUAUAGGUAGGUUACCCACGUGUUACUCACCCGUCCGCCGCUAACAUCAGAGAAGCAAGCUUCUCAUCUGUUCGCUCGACUUGCAUGUAUUAGGCACGCCGCAGCGUUCAUCCUGAGCCAGGAUCAAACUCU
rnacentral:rRNA from 1 species